GUGUACUUAGCUCAAUGCUUAGAACAUCACUCAUGAAGGCUGAGGUUGUAGGUUCAAGUCCCACAGUACACA
rnacentral:tRNA from 1 species